CAUAGCCAUAAGGGAGUAUUUAUGGUGUUUUCUGCUCAAUGAGACAUUAAAUAGCCGCAGUACACUGACUGUGCAAAGGUAGCGUAAUAAAUUGACUUCUAAUUAAAGUCCUGUAUGAAUGAAUAUAUGAGGGCCUACUAUACCAGUAAUAGGUAGCGAAAUUACUUAGUAAGUGCAAAUACUUACUUAUAAUAAAUAGACGAGAAGACCCUAGAAAUUUGUAUUAAUGUUUUGUUGGGGCAACAGGGUAACAGUAAAUUUACUCAGGUGUAUAUGGAAUGAAGUAGGGAAGUUAAAUUACUCUAGGGAUAACAGCAUAAUCUAUAAAUGUUUGUGACCUCGAUGUUGGAUUAGGGAGUUGUAACCUAGAAGGUAAUCAACAAAGCUCUGUUCGAGCUAAG
rnacentral:rRNA from 1 species